rnacentral:lncRNA from 10 species
GCUUGAGAAAGAAGGCCAGGGCACUAAAGAUACAUGAGAAGUGCAUGAAGACAGGAUGCAGGAUUUCCUAUGAUUUUAUGUUGUUCUUAAUUAGGAAGCAUAUUGGCAGCAAAUGCUAACAUGUGUUAGGAUGUUUAGCUGAAGCCAAAUAAAUGUUUUCUAUUACAACUCUGAAUUCCAUGCCUGGUCGGAACCCGUGCUUUUCUGCUCAUGGCUUACAAAAUCCCGUUAAAAGUCAUCUCAAGGGCCAAUUUUCUGUUGGCUCACAGAGCAAAAUGACUUUCACCACAUGUUUUCCUGAAGGGUUAUCUACAACUCCGGGUGGAAGUCAAAGAUUGGAAGAGGAUGACCUCUGAUCCUGGAACUGCAUUGCUUGGUGGUCAGGAGGGGUUCUUAGUAAGCAAACUCAGUUUAAUCCCAGAGUCGGAAGUGGGUGUCAACAAGCCAAAGCAACAUCCUUUCAGCUCUGCUGCUUUUUUGUCUUGGUGGAGGAAUAGCCAAUGGAAGAAGAUGGAGAGUCCGGACCAAAAAAAAAAAAAAAAGAUGAGACUAAUCUUAUGCUCAAUAUGGAAGAUAAUCAUAACUCAUCACUCUGGAUUAUAACUGCUUACAUAUGUCUUUCUUAUGAGAUAAUGCACCUUGAAGGUAAGGACUUCACUUUAUUUGCUUCAUUCUCCAGUGUCCAAUUUGUGGAAUGAAUGAAUGACCCUUAACAGAAACCUGACUGUGAUUCCCUUCACUAUUAACUUUUCCUAGAGUUAUGAAUUCCAGUUAGAAAUUUGUUCAGAAAAUCACUUGUCCUUAGGAAUAUAAUUUCACAAGACACACAAGUUGAUUUCCUUAUAGUCUAUCAUGGUGAUUUCUACCCUGGCUCAAGGCUGUGAUUCAUGAAGAAGAGUGGUAGGAACCAGACUUCUUAAAAGUGGUGAGCAUCAGGCCACAAUCUCAGAGGAUAGUGUAUGAGGAGUAAAAUUGGGAAGACACAUUCACAUUUACCCAAAUGGCUUGCACAUUAAAAGCUGUACACCCUCCCCAACUCCAAUUAACUCAGAGGGAAAUCUUUGGGCGGGUUUGGUUCUCUCCAAUGUGUGUGAGCCUGCAGUUGCCUGGCUGGCUCCUGUGUCCCUUUGGAAUUGAUAAUGAGGUUCAAGAGAGAGGAAUAGUCCUCACUAAGCAUGUCACCCCUAUUUAGCACCUUUUCCAGGAUGGCAGCCACUAUUGUUUUAUUAUGUCUCUGAUCAGCUGUCACUAUUCAUAAAGUAAUCACUGCCAUUAACACAUCACGCCUCAAGCCAUCUGCUGCAGCAUGGCACACACAGAGCUGUUGGUUGCAAGCAAAGCAGGUGUCACCUAAAAAUGACAGUACCACAGUAAAGGUGGGAGGUCAUCAUGGUGAAAGAGGAUAUGUCACGUCAAGUAACUCUAUUUUUUGAUGUAUUAUAGUGCAAUGAGCAAUAGUAUUUCUUGCUCAAUUUGCAGAGGCUAAAAUUAAAACUUCUUAUUUGAGAUACUUUUUUUCAAUAUUGGUAAGUCAUGGAGACAAAAAAUGUCAUUGAAGUUCUUAAAACAAUAGCAUCUAGAUUGUGAAUGAACUCUUGCAUUAAAUUUGCAGUCAAGUUUAAAGCAUUCUUGAAGAGAUCUGAUCCAUCAAACCUUUAUUUGACAAGUGUUUAUUGAGCACAUAUUAAGUGACACUGACAUGUGGCUGGCCCACCCGAAAUAUACAGUUGCUACGUAAAACAAAAAUCACAAGUAAUGUGUACAGUGGAGAUUCCUGAUCCCAGCUGCAUUUUUGACCCUUGGUCAGUCCCUAACACUUAUCUUGAUUUUGGAUAAUUUUUUGGAUAGUUUUCAGUUUUAACAGGAUCCAUAUUGAUUGGAUUUUCUGUGGAUGUGUUGGAAAAUAAGCUUGCAUUGGAAAAAUACAAUGAUUUCAUAAAGUCUGUUAAGAAGGACAAUAUCUUUAUAGGACAAUUAGUUCUCUUGACCACCUUCAUUGUAAAGGGGCUUUAUAUUUAUACAACUGAGAGAGGAGAUAGGAAUUUAAUUGAAGAUCUUAAAUGCUGAUAGAAAGUGGGACAAGGGAUCAUAAUUGGGUUCAACUAUCUUUCUAGCCCCUUCCCCUCCUGCAUAUACACUGGAAUUGCAUCCUUAGCUUAACUUCAGAAAAUUCAUGUAUUUAUCCUUGGCAAAUAUACACACUUAUACAUCUAUAUGUAUAUGUAAAAAAUUAACUAGGGUAGUUAAUAAUUCUACCCUCCAUUUUAUUGCAUGAGUUUCUGCUCUUUUCCUGGGAGUGAGAAGUAUUGGAUGAGGGUUUGGAUCUUCUAGCCCAUCAGUUACUCUUAGCAACAUCACCCAUCCUUUCCUACUGGUGAUGAGAGCAUCUUGCUGCAUGGGUGGUGGUUCUCAGGUGUAUACAACAAGUACUCUUCUCCAUGAUGCACAUGUCCACACAUCCUGUAUGCUACUGCUGGUUUAAGGGAUUUUCAAGGGUCAAUUCAAUAGUACAUUUAGAAAUUAACUUCUGUGAAACAUGCUACUCAAUUACAAACCAAUUGAGGAAUGCUACAUAACCCCAAAGUCUAUAGAAAGCAAAGAUAUCCAUCUUCUAUUGAUAUAGAAGAUAUCUAUAAGAUAUCUAUAUAGGGAUCUCUCAACUACUUUUGAAUCCAACUUUCUUUUGAGAAUCAAAA